rnacentral:tRNA from 1 species
GGAGGUAACUUUGUGGUAUAGUACAUACCUAACAUGCAUGAGGCCCUGGGUUUAAUCCCCAGCACUGCCA